rnacentral:rRNA from 1 species
AACGAACGCUGGCGGCAGGCCUAACACAUGCAAGUCGAGCGAGGACUUCGGUCCUAGCGGCGGACGGGUGAGUAACGCGUGGGAACGUGCCCUUUGCUUCGGAAUAGCCCUGGGAAACUGGGAGUAAUACCGGAUGAGCCCUUUGGGGGAAAGAUUUAUCGGCGAAGGAUCGGCCCGCGUUGGAUUAGGUAGUUGGUGGGGUAAUGGCCUACCAAGCCGACGAUCCAUAGCUGGUUUGAGAGGAUGAUCAGCCACACUGGGACUGAGACACGGCCCAGACUGAGGAGGGAGGGAUGAGUGAGUAGACUUAUAGAAGGAGGAAACAGGUGAUGUAGCGGGUCUGCGUAAGAGAGGACGGGGUUGGGGUUGAAAAAUUUGUGGAGGGGGGAAAAUAAGGACGGGAGCAGCAGAAGAGGCGCCGGCAACCUCAGUGCGAGCGGCCGCGGGAAUAAGAGGAAAACACAAGUAUGAGC